CGGGACACGUGGUAUCCUGUCUGAAUAUGGGGGGACCAUCCUCCAAGGCUAAAUACUCCUGACUGACCGAUAGUGAACCAGUACCGUGAGGGAAAGGCGAAAAGAACCCCGGCGAGGGGAGUGAAAAAGAACCUGAAACCGUGUACGUACAAGCAGUGGGAGCACGCUUAGGCGUGUGACUGCGUACCUUUUGUAUAAUGGGUCAGCGACUUAUAUUCUGUAGCAAGGUUAACCGAAUAGGGGAGCCGAAGGGAAACCGAGUCUUAACUGGGCGUUAAGUUGCAGGGUAUAGACCCGAAACCCGGUGAUCUAGCCAUGGGCAGGUUGAAGGUUGGGUAACACUAACUGGAGGACCGAACCGACUAAUGUUGAAAAAUUAGCGGAUGACUUGUGGCUGGGGGUGAAAGGCCAAUCAAACCGGGAGAUAGCUGGUUCUCCCCGAAAGCUAUUUAGGUAGCGCCUCGUGAAUUCAUCUCCGGGGGUAGAGCACUGUUUCGGCAAGGGGGUCAUCCCGACUUACCAACCCGAUGCAAACUGCGAAUACCGGAGAAUGUUAUCACGGGAGACACACGGCGGGUGCUAACGUCCGUCGUGAAGAGGGAAACAACCCAGACCGCCAGCUAAGGUCCCAAAGUCAUGGUUAAGUGGGAAACGAUGUGGGAAGGCCCAGACAGCCAGGAUGUUGGCUUAGAAGCAGCCAUCAUUUAAAGAAAGCGUAAUAGCUCACUGGUCGAGUCGGCCUGCGCGGAAGAUGUAACGGGGCUAAACCAUGCACCGAAGCUGCGGCAGCGACGCUGAUGCGUUGUUGGGUAGGGGAGCGUUCUGUAAGCCUGUGAAGGUGUGCUGUGAGGCAUGCUGGAGGUAUCAGAAGUGCGAAUGCUGACAUAAGUAACGAUAAAGCGGGUGAAAAGCCCGCUCGCCGGAAGACCAAGGGUUCCUGUCCAACGUUAAUCGGGGCAGGGUGAGUCGACCCCUAAGGCGAGGCCGAAAGGCGUAGUCGAUGGGAAACAGGUUAAUAUUCCUGUACUUGGUGUUACUGCGAAGGGGGGACGGAGAAGGCUAUGUUGGCCGGGCGACGGUUGUCCCGGUUUAAGCGUGUAGGCUGGUUUUCCAGGCAAAUCCGGAAAAUCAAGGCUGAGGCGUGAUGACGAGGCACUACGGUGCUGAAGCAACAAAUGCCCUGCUUCCAGGAAAAGCCUCUAAGCAUCAGGUAACAUCAAAUCGUACCCCAAACCGACACAGGUGGUCAGGUAGAGAAUACCAAGGCGCUUGAGAGAACUCGGGUGAAGGAACUAGGCAAAAUGGUGCCGUAACUUCGGGAGAAGGCACGCUGAUAUGUAGGUGAAGCGACUUGCUCGUGGAGCUGAAAUCAGUCGAAGAUACCAGCUGGCUGCAACUGUUUAUUAAAAACACAGCACUGUGCAAACACGAAAGUGGACGUAUACGGUGUGACGCCUGCCCGGUGCCGGAAGGUUAAUUGAUGGGGUCAGCGCAAGCGAAGCUCUUGAUCGAAGCCCCGGUAAACGGCGGCCGUAACUAUAACGGUCCUAAGGUAGCGAAAUUCCUUGUCGGGUAAGUUCCGACCUG
rnacentral:rRNA from 1 species